rnacentral:rRNA from 1 species
CCGGGCUCNACNUGGNNNCUGCGUUUGUGACUNNGAGNCUAGAGUUGNGCAGAGNGGGGUNGANUUCCACGUGUAGCAGUGAAAUGNGNAGAGAUGUGGAGGAACACNGAUGGCGAAGGCANNNCCCUGGGNNNAUACUGACGCUCAUGCANGAAAGCGUGNGGAGCAAACAGGAUUAGAUACNNUAGUAGUCCACGCCCUAAACGAUGUCAAGUAGGUGUUGGGAGGGUUAAACCUAUUAGUGCAGUAGCUAACGCGUGAAGUUGACCGCCUGNGGAGUACGGCAGCAAGGCUAAAACUCAAAGGAAUUGACGGGGACCNGCACAAGCGGUGGAUGAUGUGGAUUAAUUCGAUGCAACGCGAAAAACCUUACCUACCCUUGACAUGUCAGGAAUCCCGAAGAGAUUUGGGAGUGCCCGAAAGGGAGCNUGAACACAGGUGCUGCAUGGCUGUCGUCAGCUCGUGUCGUGAGAUGUUGGGUUAAGUCCCGCAACGAGCGCAACCCUCGUCGUUAAUUGCCAUCAUUCAGUUGGGCACUUUAAUGAGACUGCCGGUGACAAACCGGAGGAAGGUGGGGAUGACGUCAAGUCCUCAUGGCCCUUAUGGGUAGGGCUUCACACGUCAUACAAUGGUCGGUCCAGAGGGUUGCCAACCCGCGAGGGGGAGCUAAUCUCAGAAAGCCGAUCGUAGUCCGGAUUGCAGUCUGCAACUCGACUGCAUGAAGUCGGAAUCGCUAGUAAUCGCGGAUCAGCAUGUCGCGGUGAAUACGUUCCCGGGUCUUGUACACACCGCCCGUCACACCAUGGGAGCGGGUUCUGCCAGAAGUAGUUAGCCUAACCGCAAGGAGGGCGAUUACCACGGCAGGGUUCGUGACUGGGGUGAAGUCGUAACAAGGUAACC